AAGAACGAAUGCUGUAGAAAAGUCAACGGACAAGAACACAUCCCAACAACUGUACCUACCCCGCUUUAGAGACAAGAAAGUGAUGUCCUGAAAUAAAACUGCUGGCCAGAGGGCUGUCCAAAACUAGCUGAAUGAGAACAUCUGAAAGUCCACCUCCGAUUUUCUUUCAUUGACACUAACUCAGUUUGGCAGUCUGUACCCAGGAGAGCUAUGUAUCACCAUGUGAACUAGAGUGGGCCAGACAUCUGAAUGUUUCUUCCAGCCCAGGCCUUACAAGGACAUUUUUUUGUUUGUAGACUGCUGUUCAAGCAUGCCAAGCACACAUCAAUGCUUUUGUUCUUGAGCUCAAUGUCAGGAUCUAACAACAGAACUUCAGAAUCUGAAUCCUGAGCUUCAUCCCCAGAGAUGCUGAUUUAUUUUGUCCCAAGGUAAUCCUAAUUCAGAAGCAGAGCUGACACCUACCGAUCAGAGUGACCUGGCCCUUACGUCCCUUGCAGACCUCAUUUCCUAUUACACAGGGGCUAACCAUGUACCUUUAGCUUCUGCUACUUGCCAACUCCUCAUGCCCACACCAUCAACUUAUGGCCCCCCAAGCCACACUUUUCAUCAAGGAUAACCUGCUGAGGGCCAGGGUUGUGGAACAGCAGGUUAAGCCACCAGCUGCAGUGCCAGCAUCCCAUAUGAGUGAUGAUUUAAGUUCUGGCUGCUCUACAAAUGCACCUGGAAAAGGUGCAAAAGAUGGCUCAAGGCCUCGGGCUCCUGCUCACCACAUGGGAGACCCAGGUAGAGUUUCAGCUCCUGGCUUUGGCCUGGCCCAGCACCUGCAGUUAUGGUCAUUUGGGGAGUAAAUGGAAGAUUUCUCUCUGUCUCUCCUUCUCUGUUUGUAACUCUUUGUAACUACCUUUCAAAUAAACACAUAAAACUUAAAGAAAAAGAAAGAUAACUUGCUGUUACCUGUGCUCGGACCACAACUUCCGUAAUAAUGACAAGAGUCAGCAUUUACAGAGCAUUUGCAGUUGGAGCACAUACAUAGUGACAAGUAUCAACUCAUUUAAUCCUCCCAACAACCUAUGUGUAGCCCUUAUUUUGUAGUCAAAGGACUUGAUAUGAUUUGCACAUGUAUGACCGAGCAGGGAAUUGAACUUCUGAAGUCAAUGCUCAGGGCCCUAAUGCCAACACUGUCAAGCUACCUCUUAUUUUCUUUCACAGUCUUUGUGCCUUUACCCUAAUGUCACCUUCUUGAUGCUUCACCGUCCUAGCCAAAAUAUCUCCUACCUCAUGCUCAUUACUCUUCACUUCCUUACCCUGCAAUCACAGUGUUUACUCAUCUCUCUGUCUGGCUAUGAAGUUUUUCCUCCAGCACAGAGAACACUUUCCUGUGGUUGACUGCAUCUACUUGCUGACCGCUGUCUCUCUAGCAACAGUGAAAAGAGCACAGAGAAGGUGAUUAACAGAGAGGUGAGACAGGAAAGAAGGAAAUUCUCAGGUAAGAAGUAGUCAGAGA